UACGAAGGGGGCUAGCGUUGUUCGGAAUUACUGGGCGUAAAGGGCGCGUAGGCGGUCCUUCAAGUCAGGCGUGAAAGCCCCGGGCUCAACCUGGGAACCGCGCUUGAGACUGGCGGGCUAGAGUUCGGGAGAGGAUGGUGGAAUUCCCAGUGUAGAGGUGAAAUUCGCAGAUAUUGGGAAGAACACCAGUGGCGAAAGGCGGUUCUCUGGGACGGUACUGACGCUGGAGACGCGAAAGCGUGGGGAGCGAACAGG
rnacentral:rRNA from 1 species